rnacentral:misc_RNA from 1 species
UCUCCGUAGGUGAACCUGCGGAGGGAUCAUUACAGAGUUCAUGCCCUACCGGGUAGAUCUCCCACCCUAUGUUAUUAUUACUUUGUUGCUUUGGCGGGCCGUUAGGCUCCGGCCCGACUACCGGCCCCGGCUGUAAGCGCCCGCCAGAGGACCCAAAACCCUGAAUAUUAGUGUCGUCUGAGUACUAUAUAAUAGUUAAAACUUUCAACAACGGAUCUCUUGGUUCUG